GAUGAACGCUGGCGGCGUGCCUAAUACAUGCAAGUCGAGCGAACGGACGAGAAGCUUGCUUCUCUGAUGUUAGCGGCGGACGGGUGAGUAACACGUGGAUAACCUACCUAUAAGACUGGGAUAACUUCGGGAAACCGGAGCUAAUACCGGAUAAUAUUUUGAACCGCAUGGUUCAAAAGUGAAAGACGGUCUUGCUGUCACUUAUAGAUGGAUCCGCGCUGCAUUAGCUAGUUGGUAAGGUAACGGUUUACCAAGGCAACGAUGCAUAGCCGACCUGAGAGGGUGAUCGGCCACACUGGAACUGAGACACGGUCCAGACUCCUACGGGAGGCAGCAGUAGGGAAUCUUCCGCAAUGGGCGAAGGCCUGACGGAGCAACGCCGCGUGAGUGAUGAAGGUCUUCGGAUCGUAAAACUCUGUUAUUAGGGAAGAACAUAUGUGUAAGUAACUGUGCACAUCUUGACGGUACCUAAUCAGAAAGCCACGGCUAACUACGUG
rnacentral:rRNA from 1 species